rnacentral:rRNA from 1 species
AUUGAACGCUGGCGGCAUGCCUUACACAUGCAAGUCGAACGGUAACAGGUCUUCGGAUGCUGACGAGUGGCGAACGGGUGAGUAAUGCAUCGGAACGCGCCCAGUAGUGGGGGAUAGCCCGGCGAAAGCCGGAUUAAUACCGCAUACGACCUGAGGGUGAAAGGGGGGGAUCGCAAGACCUCUCGCUAUUGGAGCGGCCGAUGUCAGAUUAGCUAGUUGGUGGGGUAAAGGCCUACCAAGGCAACGAUCUGUAGUUGGUCUGAGAGGACGACCAGCCACACUGGGACUGAGACACGACCCAGACUCCUACGGGAGGCAGCAGUGGGGAAGUUUGGACAAUGGGCGCAAGCCUGAUCCAGCAAUGCCGCGUGCAGGAAGAAGGCCUUCGGGUUGUAAACUGCUUUUGUCAGGGAAGAAAUCUUCUGGGUUAAUACCUCGGGAGGAUGACGGUACCUGAAGAAUAAGCACCGGCUAACUACGUGCCAGCAGCCGCCGUAACAC